UACGCAGGCUGUGAUUCAAGUCAGCUGUAAAAGGAUGCGGCUUAACCGUGUUUAGCAGUUGAAACUGGAUGACUGGAGUGCUGGAGAGGCAAGUGGAAUUCCCAGUGUAGCGGUGAAAUGCGUAGAUAUUGGGAAGAACAUCGGUGGCGAAGGCGACUUGCUGGCCAGUAACUGACGCUGAGGUGCGAAAGCCAGGGUAGCAAACG
rnacentral:rRNA from 1 species